GGGCUCCACCUCCACCACCUGUCACUGUAACGGGGGCUGCAACGUGGACAGCACCCCUCACUUCUAAGUUCAACUGCAGACUGGAUGGUGAAAGGCAGAAGCCGAGGAGGUGGAAGUGCAGAUUUGGAGAUGUGAUAGGUAAGUAUGACCAUUUUUAUUUGUUGUCUUCCAAUGAACUUUAUAUUACUAAAGAAUGAAUUCUGAAUUCCAUUUGUAAACAAAACAGGACCAAUUUUUCUAAUUAUAAUUAUGACUUAGUAACCUGAGAAUUUAUAAAUAAUAACAUAUAAUAAAUUGUAUUAUCUUGAAUAAGACUAACAAAAUAGAUGACAGAUAAAAAGAUAGUGUC
ensembl:lncRNA